rnacentral:rRNA from 1 species
UACAGAGGGUGCAAGCGUUAAUCGGAAUUACUGGGCGUAAAGAGCACGUAGGUGGAUACCUAAGUCGAAUGUGAAAUCCCUGGGCUUAACCUAGGAACUGCAUACGAUACUGGGUGUCUAGAGUAUAGUAGAGGGAAGUGGAAUUUCCGGAGUAGCGGUGAAAUGCGUAGAUAUCGGAAGGAACACCAGUGGCGAAGGCGGCUUCCUGGAUUAAUACUGACACUGAGGUGCGAAAGCAUGGGGAGCAAACAGG